rnacentral:rRNA from 1 species
AUCGAACGCUGGCGGCAGGCCUAACACAUGCAAGUCGAACGAGUGGCGGACGGGUGAGUAAUGUCUGGGAAACUGCCUGAUGGGGGGGGAUAACUACUGUAAACGGUAGCUAAUACCGCAUACCAUCAGAUGUGCCCAGAUGGGAUUUGCUAGUAGGUGGGGUAACGGCUCACCUAGGCGACGAGCCCCAGCUGGUCUGAGAGGAUGACCAGCCACACUGGAACUGAGACACGGUGCAGACUCCUACGGGAGGCAGCAGUGGGGAAUAUUGCACAAUGGGCGAAAGCCGGAUGCAGCCAUGCCGCGUGGAUGAAGAAGGCCGUCGGGUUGUAAAGUACUUUCAGCGGGGAGGCGUUACCCGCAGAAGAAGCACCGGCUAACUCCGUGCCAGCAGCCGCGGUAAUUC